rnacentral:rRNA from 1 species
AACGACUCUCGGCAACGGAUAUCUCGGCUCUCGCAUCGAUGAAGAACGCAGCGAAAUGCGAUACUUGGUGUGAAUUGCAGAAUCCCGUGAACCAUCGAGUUUUUGAACGCAAGUUGCGCCCAAAGCCUUCUGGCCGAGGGCACGUCUGCCUGGGUGUCACGC